AUUGAACGCUGGCGGCAUGCUUUACACAUGCAAGUCGAACGGUAACAGGCCGCAAGGUGCUGACGAGUGGCGAACGGGUGAGUAAUGCAUCGGAACGUGCCCAGUCGUGGGGGAUAACGCAGCGAAAGCUGCGCUAAUACCGCAUACGAUCUAUGGAUGAAAGCGGGGGACCUGUAAGGGCCUCGCGCGAUUGGAGCGGCCGAUGUCAGAUUAGGUAGUUGGUGGGGUAAAGGCUCACCAAGCCGACGAUCUGUAGCUGGUCUGAGAGGACGACCAGCCACACUGGGACUGAGACACGGCCCAGACUCCGACGGGAGGCAGCAGUGGGGAAUUUUGGAAAAUGGGCGCAAGCCUGAUCCAGCAAUGCCGCGUGCAGGAAGAAGGCCUUCGGGUUGUAAACUGCUUUUGUACGGAACGAAACGGCUCUGGUUAAUACCUGGGGCUAAUGACGGUACCGUAAGAAUAAGCACCGGCUAACUACGUGCCAGCCGCCGCCGUAAAAC
rnacentral:rRNA from 1 species